CCUACGGGUGGCAGCAGUGGGGAAUAUUGCACAAUGGGGGAAACCCUGAUGCAGCGACGCCGCGUGAGUGAAGAAGUAUUUCGGUAUGUAAAGCUCUAUCAGCAGGGAAGAAAAUGACAGUACCUGACCAAGAAGCCCCGGCUAACUACGUGCCAGCAGCCGCGGUAAUACGUAGGGGGCACGCGUUAUCCGGAUUUACUGGGUGUAACGGGAGCGUAGACGGGUUGGUAAGUCCUGAGUGAAAGCCCGGGGCCCAACCCAGGGACUGCUUUGGAGACUGUGUAACUGGAGUACAGGAGGGGCAGGCGGAAUGCCUGGUGUAGCGGUGAAAUGCGUAGAUAUCAGGAGGAACACCGGUGGCGAAGGCGGCCUGCUGGACUGAAACUGACGUUGAGGCUCGAAAGCGUGGGGAGCAAACAGGAUUAGAUACCCCUGUAGUC
rnacentral:rRNA from 1 species